GGCUGGGCUGGACUGGGUUAGGCUGGGCUGGGUUGGGUUAGGCUGGGCUGGGAUAGGCUGGGUUGGGUUAGGAUGGGCUGGGUUAGGCUGGGCUGGAUUAGGCUGGGUUGGUUUGGGUUAGGCUGGGCUGGGCUGGGUUGGGUUAGGAUGGUCUGGGUUAGGCUGGGCUGGGAUAGGCUGGGCUGGGAAAGGCUGGGUUGUGUUAGGAUGGUCUGGGUUAGGCUGGGCUGGGAUAGGCUGAGCUGGGAUAGGCUGGGUUGGGUUAGGAUGGUCUGGGUUAGGCUGGGUUAGGUUAGGUUGGGUUGGGUUAGGUUAGGUUAGGCUGGGUUGGGUUAGGUUAGGUUAGGCUGGGUUAGGUUAGGUUGGGUUGGGUUGGGUUAGGUUAGGUUAGGCUGGGUUAGGCUGGGUUGGGUUGGGUUGGGUUAGGUUAGGUUAGGCUGGGUUAGGCUGGGUUGGGUUAGGUUAGGUUAGGUUAGGCUGGGUUGGGUUAGGUUAGGUUAGGCUGGGUUAGGCUGGGUUGGGUUGGGUUGGGUUAGGUUAGGUUAGGCUGGGUUAGGCUGGGUUGGGUUAGGUUAGGCUGGGUUGGGUUGGGUUAGGUUAGGUUAGGCUGGGUUAGGUUAGGUUGGGUUGGGUUGGGUUAGGUUAGGUUAGGCUGGGUUAGGCUGGGUUGGGUUAGGUUAGGUUAGGCUGGGUUAGGUUAGGUUGGGUCGGGUUGGGUUAGGUUAGGUUAGGCUGGGUUAGGCUGGGUUGGGUUAGGUUAGGUUAGGCUGGGUUAGGUUAGGUUGGGUUGGGUUGGGUUAGGUUAGGUUAGGCUGGGUUAGGCUGGGUUGGGUUAGGUUAGGCUGGGUUGGGUUAGGUUAGGUUAGGCUGGGUUAGGUUAGGUUGGGUUGGGUUGGGUUAGGUUAGGUUAGGCUGGGUUAGGCUGGGUUAGGUUAGGUUAGGCUGGGUUGGGUUAGGAUGGGCUGGGUUAGGCUGGGCUGGAUUAGGCUGGGUUGGUUUGGGUUAGGCUGGGCUGGGCUGGGUUGGGUUAGGAUGGUCUGGGUUAGGCUGGGCUGGGAUAGGCUGGGCUGGGAAAGGCUGGGUUGGGUUAGGAUGGUCUGGGUUAGGCUGGGCUGGGAUAGGCUGAGCUGGGAUAGGCUGGGUUGGGUUAGGAUGGUCUGGGUUAGGCUGGGUUAGGUUAGGUUGGGUUGGGUUAGGUUAGGUUAGGUUAGGCUGGGUUGGGUUAGGUUAGGUUAGGCUGGGUUAGGUUAGGUUGGGUUGGGUUGGGUUAGGUUAGGUUAGGCUGGGUUAGGCUGGGUUGGGUUGGGUUGGGUUAGGUUAGGUUAGGCUGGGUUAGGCUGGGUUGGGUUAGGUUAGGUUAGGCUGGGUUGGGUUAGGUUAGGUUAGGCUGGGUUAGGCUGGGUUGGGUUGGGUUGGGUUAGGUUAGGUUAGGCUGGGUUAGGCUGGGUUGGGUUAGGUUAGGCUGGGUUGGGUUGGGUUAGGUUAGGUUAGGCUGGGUUAGGUUAGGUUGGGUUGGGUUGGGUUAGGUUAGGUUAGGCUGGGUUAGGCUGGGUUGGGUUAGGUUAGGUUGGGUUGGGUUAGGUUAGGUUAGGCUGGGUUAGGUUGGGUUGGGUUGGGUUAGGUUAGGUUAGGCUGGGUUAGGCUGGGUUGGGUUAGGUUAGGCUGGGUUGGGUUAGGUUAGGUUAGGCUGGGUUAGGUUAGGUUGGGUUGGGUUGGGUUAGGUUAGGUUAGGCUGGGUUAGGCUGGGUUGGGUUAGGUUAGGCUGGGUUGGGUUAGGUUAGGUUAGGCUGGGUUAGGUUAGGUUGGGUUGGGUUGGGUUAGGUUAGGUUAGGUUAGGCUGGGUUAGGUUAGGUUAGGCUGGGUUGGGUUGGGUUGGGUUGCUACUGCCUUGUUUUCUGUUUCCAGUCCCCUUCAACAUACUGGGACAAGAUGUGCUGCUGCACUCAAUGUGGCUGUUUACAGAGUUGGGGUAUCAGCACCAUCCUAGUCUACAAACAGCUAAGUACACUAUGUAGGAGAAACUGAUGGAAGAUUUACAACAAAGUAUGUCCUCUCUCAGGUAGUCUGUUGUUAUUACAUGGUUGGUUAACAGCUACUUGUGGCCUCAAACAUCAUCCAGACAGGCAGCGAAGUGAACUCCAUCUCUCUGUAAACCUGACCACAACACACAGGAUUUAUGGGAUGUGAGACAGAAACAUGUUCACUUCCCAUUGCAGCCUUCCUGCUGCACCACACCAGUCCAGGUAGUCGUACCUAACAUGGUCCAUGGUAAUAACUUCAAACAACCUCUCUAUGAGGGGUUUGGUUAGAUAAAGAAAGUAAGAGGAGAGGAGAGGGGAGAAUAUGAGGGGUUUGGUUAGAUAAAGAAAGUAAGAGGAGAGGAGAGGGGAGAAUAUGAGGGGUUUGGUUAGAUAAAGAAAGUAAGAGGAGAGGAGAGGGGAGAAUAUGAGGGGUUUGGUUAGAUAAAGAAAGUAAGAGGAGAGGAGAGGGGAGAAUAUGAGGGGUUUGGUUAGAUAAAGAAAGUAAGAGGAGAGGAGAGGGGAGAAUAUGAGGGGUUUGGUUAGAUAAAGAAAGUAACAGGAGAGGAGAGAGGAGAAUAUGAGGGGUUUGGUUAGAUAAAGAAAGUAAGAGGAGAGGAGAGGGGAGAAUAUGAGGGGUUUGGUUAGAUAAAGAAAGUAAGAGGAGAGGAGAGGGGAGAAUAUGAGGGGUUUGGUUAGAUAAAGAAAGUAACAGGAGAGGAGAGAGGAGAAUAUGAGGGGUUUGGUUAGAUAAAGAAAGUAAGAGGAGAGGAGAGGGGAGAAUAUGAGGGGUUUGGUUAGAUAAAGAAAGUAAGAGGAGAGGAGAGGGGAGAAUAUGAGGGGUUUGGUUAGAUAAAGAACGUAAGAGGAGAGGAGAGGGGAGAAUAUGAGGGGUUUGGUUAGAUAAAGAAAGUAAGAGGAGAGGAGAGGGGAGAAUAUGAGGGGUUUGGUUAGAUAAAGAAAGUAAGAGGAGAGGAGAGGGGAGAAUAUGAGGGGUUUGGUUAGAUAAAGAAAGUAAGAGGAGAGGAGAGGGGAGAAUAUGAGGGGUUUGGUUAGAUAAAGAAAGUAACAGGAGAGGAGAGAGGAGAAUAUGAGGGGUUUGGUUAGAUAAAGAAAGUAAGAGGAGAGGAGAGGGGAGAAUAUGAGG